rnacentral:rRNA from 1 species
GACAGAGGGUGCAAACGUUGUUCGGAAUUACUGGGCGUAAAGCGUGUGUAGGCGGCUAGGUAAGUCGGAUGUGAAAACCCCGGGCUCAACUCGGGAAGUGCACUCGAUACUGCUUAGCUCGAGUACCGGAGAGGUUGGUGGAAUUCUCGGUGUAGAGGUGAAAUUCGUAGAUAUCGAGAGGAACACCGGUGGCGAAGGCGGCCAACUGGACGAGUACUGACGCUGAGACACGAAAGCGUGGGGAGCAAACAGG